rnacentral:rRNA from 1 species
AUGAACGCUGGCGGCGUGCCUAAUACAUGCCAGUCGAGCGAACGGACGAGAAGCUUGCUUCUCUGAUGUUAGCGGCGGACGGGUGAGUAACACGUGGAUAACCUACCUAUAAGACUGGGAUAACUUCGGGAAACCGGAGCUAAUACCGGAUAAUAUUUUGAACCGCAUGGUUCAAAAGUGAAAGACGGUCUUGCUGUCACUUAUAGAUGGAUCCGCGCUGCAUUAGCUAGUUGGUAAGGUAAAGGCUUACCAAGGCAACGAUGCAUAGCCGACCUGAGAGGGUGAUCGGCCACACUGGAACUGAGACACGGUCCAGACUCCUACGGGAGGCAGCAGUAGGGAAUCUUCCGCAAUGGGCGAAAGCCUGACGGAGCAACGCCGCGUGAGUGAUGAAGGUCUUCGGAUCGUAAAACUCUGUUAUUAGGGAAGAACAUAUGUGUAAUUAACUGUGCACAUCUUGACGGUACCUAAUCAGAAAGCCACGGCUAACUACGUG